GACGAACGCUGGCGGCGUGCUUAACACAUGCAAGUCGAACGGAAAGGCCUGCUUUCCCUUGUGGAUUGCGGGUACUCGAGUGGCGAACGGGUGAGUAACACGUGAGUGAUCUGCCCCCAACUUGGGUAUAAGCCUGGGAAACUGGGUCUAAUUCCCGAUAGGACUGCAGGGUGGUGCCUGUGGUGGAACACGAUUUUCUAGUUGUUGGGGAUGAGCUCGCGGCCUAUCAGCUUGUUGGUGGGGUAAUGGCCUACCAAGGCGGCGACGGGUAGCCGGCCUGAGAGGGUGGACAGCCACAUUGGGACUGAGAUACGGCCCAGACUCCUACGGGAGGCAGCAGUGGGGAAUAUUGCACAAUGGGCGGAAGCCUGAUGCAGCGACGCCGCGUGGGGGAUGACGGCCUUCGGGUUGUAAACUCCUUUCGACCGCGAGGAAGCCACCUGGUUGGAAGGGUGGUGACGGUAGUGGUAGAAGAAGCACCGGCUAACUACGUG
rnacentral:rRNA from 1 species